AUUGAACGCUGGCGGCAUGCCUUACACAUGCAAGUCGAACGGUAACAGGCCUUCGGGUGCCGACGAGUGGCGAACGGGUGAGUAAUGCAUCGGAACGUACCUUUCAGUGGGGGAUAACGUAGCGAAAGUUACGCUAAUACCGCAUAUUCUGUGAGCAGGAAAGCAGGGGAUCGCAAGACCUUGCGCUGAUUGAGCGGCCGAUGUCAGAUUAGCUAGUUGGUGAGGUAAAGGCUCACCAAGGCGACGAUCUGUAGCGGGUCUGAGAGGAUGAUCCGCCACACUGGAACUGAGACACGGUCCAGACUCCUACGGGAGGCAGCAGUGGGGAAUUUUGGACAAUGGGGGCAACCCUGAUCCAGCCAUGCCGCGUGAGUGAAGAAGGCCUUCGGGUUGUAAAGCUCUUUCGGCCGGGAAGAAAUCGUAUGGGCUAAUGCCCUGUGCGGAUGACGGUACCGGCAUAAGAAGCACCGGCUAACUACGUGCCAGCAGCCGCGGUAAGAC
rnacentral:rRNA from 1 species